rnacentral:rRNA from 1 species
AUUCUGGUUGAUCCUGCCAGCAGUUAUAUGAUUGUCUCAAAGAUUACGCCCUGCAUGUCUAAGUACACACGAAUUAAAAGUGAAACCGCAAAAGGCUCAUUAUAUUAGUUAUGGUUCCUUAGAUCGUUAACAGUUAAUUGGAUAACUGUGGUAAUUCUAGAGCUAAUACAUGCAAUUAAAAGUAUCUAGGACUACCAUGGUUGCAACGGGUAACGGGGAAUCAGGGUUCGAUUCCGGAGAGGAAGCCUGAGAAACGGCUACCACAUCUAAGGAAGGCAGCAGGCGCGUAAAUUACCCACUCCCAGCUCGGGGAGGUAGUGACGAAAUAUAACAAUACAGGACUCAUAUCCGAGGACCUGUAAUUGGAAUGAGCACACUUUAAGUCCUUUAACAAGGACCAAUUGGAGGGCAAGUCUGGUGCCAGCAGCCGCGGUAAUUCCAGCUCUAAUGGCGUAUAUUAAAGUUGUUGCGGUUAAAACGUUCGUAGUUGAGCUUGUUCUUCAUACGGGUAGUACAACUUACAAUUGUGGUUAGUACUAUACCUUUAUGUAUUUAAGCGUAUUACCGGUGGAGUUCUUAUAUCUGAUUAAAUACUUGUAUUUUUUCAUAUGUUCCUCCUAUUUAAAAACCUGCAUUAGUGUUCUUAAACGAGUGUUAUUGUGGGCCGGUACUAUUACUUUGAACAAAUUAGAGUGAAAUAAGACCUCUGUUCUGCUUUCAUUGGUUUUCAGAUCAAGAGGUAAUGAUUAAUAGAAGCAGUUUGGGGGCAUUAGUAUUACGACGCGAGAGGUGAAAUUCUUGGACCGUCGUAAGACUAACUUAAGCGAAAGCAUUUGCCAAAGAUGUUUUCAUAAAUAAAGAACGAAAGAGGUUCGAAGGCGAUCAGAUACCGCCCUAGUUCUAACUAUAAACGAUGCCAGCUAGCAAUUGGGUGUAGCUACUUUUAUGGCUCUCUCAGUCGCUUCCCGAGAGACCAAAGCUUUUGGGCUCCGGGGGAAGUAUGGUUGCAAAGCUGAAACUUAAAGGAAUUGACGGAAGGGCACCACCGGCUUAAUUUGACUCAACACGGGAAAACUUACCAGGUCCGAACAUAAGUGCGUAAGGCAGAUUGAUAGCUCUUUCUCGAAUCUAUGGGUGGUGGUGCAUGGCCGUUCUUAGUUCGUGGAGUGAUUUGUCUGGUUAAUUCCGAUAACGAACGAGGCUCAAAUAUUAAAUAGAUAUCUUCAGGAUUAUGGUGCUGAAGCUUAAUAGCCUUCAUUCAUUGCAAUAAAAUGUUUAUUGUGUUUGAAUAUGUUUAUGUAAGUGGAGCCGUACCUGUUGGUUUGUCCCAUUAUAAGGACACUAGCUUCUUAAAUGGAUAAAUUACGUCUAGCAAUAAUGAGUUUGAGCAAUAACAGGUCUGUGAUGCCCUUAGAUGUCCUGGGCUGCACGCGCGCUACAAUGAAAGUAUCAACGUGUAUUUCCGAGAGGUCCGGGUAAACUGCUCAACCACUUUCAUGCUUGGGAUUGUGAGCUGAAACUGUUCACAUGAACUUGGAAUUCCCAGAAGGUGUGAGUCAUUAACUCGCAUUGAUUACGUCCUUGCCAUUUGUACACACCGCCCGUUGCUACUACCGAUUGAAUUAUUUAGUGAGGUCUCCGGACGUGAUUACUGUGACGCCUUGCGUGUUACGGUUGUUUCGCAAAAGUUGACCGAACUUGAUUAUUUAGAGGAAGUAAAAGUCGUAAAAAGGUUUCCGUAGGUGAACCUGCGGAAG